rnacentral:rRNA from 1 species
GAUGAACGCUGGCGGCGUGCUUAACACAUGCAAGUCGAACGAACCUUCGGGUUAGUGGCGGACGGGUGAGUAACGCGUGAGAAUCUGCCCUCAGGAGGGGGAUAACGGUUGGAAACGACCGCUAAUACCCCAUAUGCCGAGAGGUGAAAUGAAAUUCGCCUGAGGAUGAGCUCGCGUCUGAUUAGCUAGUUGGUAGGGUAAAGGCCUACCAAGGCAUUGAUCAGUAGCUGGUCUGAGAGGAUGAUCAGCCACACUGGGACUGAGACACGGCCCAGACUCCUACGGGAGGCAGCAGUGGGGAAUUUUCCGCAAUGGGCGCAAGCCUGACGGAGCAACGCCGCGUGAGGGAUGAAGGCCUCUGGGCUGUAAACCUCUUUUAUCAAGGAAGAAGAACUGACGGUACUUGAUGAAUAAGCCACGGCUAAUUCCGUGCCAGCAGCCGCGGUAAUACGGGAGUGGCAAGCGUUAUCCGGAAUUAUUGGGCGUAAAGCGUCCGCAGGCGGCCUUGAAAGUCUGUCGUUAAAGCGUGGAGCUUAACUCCAUUUCGGCGGUGGAAACUACAAGGCUUGAGUGUGGUAGGGGCAGAGGGAAUUCCCGGUGUAGCGGUGAAAUGCGUAGAUAUCGGGAAGAACACCAGUGGCGAAGGCGCUCUGCUGGGCCAUAACUGACGCUCAUGGACGAAAGCCAGGGGAGCGAAAGGGAUUAGAUACCCCUGUAGUCCUGGCCGUAAACGAUGAACACUAGGUGUCGGGGGAAUCGACCCCCUCGGUGUCGUAGCUAACGCGUUAAGUGUUCCGCCUGGGGAGUACGCACGCAAGUGUGAAACUCAAAGGAAUUGACGGGGGCCCGCACAAGCGGUGGAGUAUGUGGUUUAAUUCGAUGCAACGCGAAGAACCUUACCAGGGUUUGACAUCCUGCGAAUCCCUUGGAAACUAGGGAGUGCCUUCGGGAGCGCAGAGACAGGUGGUGCAUGGCUGUCGUCAGCUCGUGUCGUGAGAUGUUGGGUUAAGUCCCGCAACGAGCGCAACCCACGUCUUUAGUUGCCAGCAUUUAGUUGGGCACUCUAGAGAGACCGCCGGUGAUAAACCGGAGGAAGGUGUGGAUGACGUCAAGUCAUCAUGCCCCUUACAUCCUGGGCUACACACGUACUACAAUGCUACGGACAAAGGGUUGCAAACUCGCGAGAGCUAGCUAAUCCCAUAAACCGUGGCUCAGUUCAGAUCGUAGGCUGCAACUCGCCUACGUGAAGGAGGAAUCGCUAGUAAUCGCAGGUCAGCAUACUGCGGUGAAUACGUUCCCGGGCCUUGUACACACCGCCCGUCACACCAUGGAAGUUGGCCACGCCCGAAGUCGUUACUCCAACCCUUGUGGAGGAGGAUGCCGAAGGUGGGGCUGAUGACUGGGGUG